AACGAACGCUGGCGGCAGGCCUAACACAUGCAAGUCGAACGCUCCAGCAAUGGAGAGUGGCAGACGGGUGAGUAACGCGUGGGAACCUACCCUUUGGUUCGGAAUAGCUCAGGGAAACUUGAGGUAAUACCGGAUAAGCCCUUCGGGGGAAAGAUUUAUCGCCAGUGGAGCGGCCCGCGUUGGAUUAGGUAGUUGGUGGGGUAAAGGCCUACCAAGCCUACGAUCCAUAGCUGGUCUGAGAGGAUGAUCAGCCACACUGGGACUGAGACACGGCCCAGACUCCUACGGGAGGCAGCAGUAGGGAAUCUUGCGCAAUGGGCGAAAGCCUGACGCAGCCAUGCCGCGUGAAUGAUGAAGGUCUUAGGAUUGUAAAAUUCUUUCACCGGGGAAGAUAAUGACGGUACCCGGAGAAGAAGCCCCGGCUAACUUCGUGCCAGCCGCCGCGGUAAAAC
rnacentral:rRNA from 1 species